AAAAAGACUUGGCAUUCCAGUCAUAAGACCACAAAAGUUUCACACUGAACAUCAAAAUGUUCAACGAAGCUCAUGAGACCAGAAAUUUUCAUACUAAACGAUGAAUUUAGCACAUUAAGGAAAUUGAAAUACUACAUCAGAUGAGCAUGGUGGUUGGCACGCAUAUAUAUUCCAGAGUGCUUUUGAUCUAAUGGCCUUGGGUAAUAACUGUAUGUAGUCCACUUGUCACCCAUUUUAAGACCUUUUUUUUAAACCGGAAACGAACCUUUUCAUGGAGAAAAAAAAG
rnacentral:misc_RNA from 1 species